AUUAAAUGCCUCUUUCCAUCGACUUCCACGACGUGCGGCAGUUCCUGCGUGACAGCAGUCACGAACUCCUAAAAUGAAGUAAUUUAAAUGAAUUCACAUGAGUGGAUGAGGAUUGUCUGCAAAAUAUGCAUUGGAUUAAGUUCCUCAGCUUCAUAUCGGUGCCCAAAUCAAUCCCAAAAGGGCAAAGGUGACUGCAACAGGAAUCGGUCAGCCGAAACCGCCACGACUCGCAUCCAACCGAGCGACCGACCUAGAGUCCUUCCUAAUCUUGCACAGUUCAGUUUGUAGCAGUUGGCAAUGCCGGGGUGCCGCUCGUUCGUUCCUUGCGCCUUAUUUAGGGUGCGACCCGACCGACCGACCGACCACCAAUACCACUGCAAACGCAACAGUCGUCCUGGCUGGCCGGCCGCGCGCGCUUUCCGAGCGAAGGGUGCAGAGAAUUUCCAUCGAUGACGACGACGACGACGAUUGUUGCGAUGUCAAUGAGCGCGAAGAGAAUCAUGUCCUUUCGGCGCGGGCACACCCGGUAACAACACCAGGCGUUCGCCACGGGAGCAGGAAGGAGACAGCAUCUCUCCAUGCGCUCGGUAGCUGAAGAGAGAUGGAAGCACACGAGAUGAUUAGAGCGAACCCUCCCGUUAUAGAGAAAACUACCCCUUGUUGGACGCAAUCAGAGACUAGGGUAGUCAUCGUCGGCGUUCGUGUCGGUAGAGCGCCACCGCCAAGAGGCCGGUUUCGGAGUCGAAGUCGAAAGCGAACGCACAGUAGAAUAGUGAUAUAGGCGAGUCCCGGAGCAGUAGUUGCUAGAAGACAUAGCCGCCCAAACGAAGGACCAGUUUUCCUAGAGUUUCCCGUACAUAAAAUCACUGCCACCAGAGCCGGGAUUGAGGUAUCCGGAAUCCGGAAUUGAUCGCGAGUAUCGUUUGAUCCGAGGAACGACGGCUUCCAGCAGAAGAAUGCUUUAAUUCGAAGUAAUCGGACUAGUGAUCGCAGGCUGUGUGUUCUGCAAAUCGAAAAGCCGAGAAAAAAGGGUGUGGAAGCUACAGUUUUCAUCUUGCAUGAGUCGAAGCCCACCGCGCUAGAGUCGGAAAAUCCGGAUGCCAAGUGCACAAAUCGGAGGCCAAACAUAGUUCUAAGCCAAAACCAAACUUUCGUGUGUGAUAUUUUCCGUUUUCGAUCGAAUGAUAUACAUAUUUAUAUGAAUCCCAAAAAGGAGGGUGUGUGAUAUAUUAUACACAUUUUGGUGAAGUCGAGGACGAAGAGUGCAAGAGUUGCCAACUGUUAGACAUCGAACGAC